rnacentral:tRNA from 1 species
GACCCCGUAGUUCAACUGGAUAGAAUUACCGCCUCCUAAGCAGUGGAUCUGGGUUCGAGUCCCGGCGGGGUCA